ACUUAGCUGAAUUGGUUACAGUGUGGUGCUGAUAACGCCAAGGUUGCAGGUUCGACUCCCAUAUGGGACA